GACGAACGCUGGCGGCGUGCUUAACACAUGCAAGUCGAACGAUGAACCCGGAGCUUGCUCCGGUGGAUUAGUGGCGAACGGGUGAGUAACACGUGAGUAACCUGCCCUUGACUCUGGGAUAACUGCGGGAAACUGUAGCUAAUACCGGAUACGACCCUCGGCGGCAUCGCCAGGGGGUGGAAAGAAUUUCGGUCAAGGAUGGACUCACGGCCUAUCAGCAAGUUGGUGAGGUAACGGCUCACCAAGGCGACGACGGGUAGCCGGCCUGAGGGGGGGACCGGCACAACUGGGACUGAGCCACGGCCCAGACUCCUACGGGAGGCAGCAGUGGGGAAUAUUGCGCAAUGGGCGAAAGCCUGACGCAGCGACGCCGCGUGAGGGAUGAAGGUCUUCGGAUCGUAAACCUCUUUCAGUAGGGACGAAGCGAAAGUGACGGUACCUAAAGAAGAAGCACCGGCUAACUACGUGCCAGCCGCCGCAGUAA
rnacentral:rRNA from 1 species